rnacentral:rRNA from 1 species
AUUGAACGCUGGCGGCGUGCUUAACACAUGCAAGUCGAGCGGUAACAGGCGUAGCAAUACGUGCUGACGAGCGGCGAACGGGUGCGUAAUACAUGGGAAUCUGCCUAGUAGUGGGGAAUAACCCGGCGAAAGCCGGGCUAAUGCCGCAUACGAUCCACGGAUGAAAGCGGGGGACCGUUCGGCCGUCGCGCUAUUAGAUGAGCCCACUGUCGGA